AGAACGAUCCCAGAGUUCAUCUCUUAUAUUUUUAAGAUGAUAGCUUACCAUUUGUAAGGAUUAGUUGGGCAUAUGCAUAACGAGUGAAGGGCGAUUUACAGGUAAGAUUAAAUUUGCCAAUUUACAACUUAUGAUAAACAAAGUUUAUAAACGUACUCAUAGUUAGUCCAAACAAUUUCUUUGUGUUGGAGGUCGAGAGGUUUUUGUAAAAUCAAUAUUGCAGAUAUUCUGACUUAUGCAAUGAGUUGUUUCUUGUUAUCUAAUAGUGUGACUAAUGUCAUUGUUUCUGCUAUUGAACAGCUCUAGUAGUUGGCUAAGCAUGAGGAGUGAGGUUGGGUGAUGUUGGACUGGGUCAUCAUUUGACGAUCAAAUGGUAUGGGAGGGUUUGGUUUUCAAGUGUUAAAUUGUUUAACCUUGCCCUUUUGGGGAGACAAGCAUGGAAAUUUAUGCAUAACAAGGAAACCUAUUGCUCCAAAGUGCUUUCAUCGAAAGAAUUUCCAACUGGGAAUGUUUUGAAAGCUAAGCAUGUUUGAUAAACCUUCAUUCGCAUGGUCCAGUAUUUUAGCUGCUAUUCAUGCCUUGAAACUGAGAUUCUUU
rnacentral:lncRNA from 1 species